GGAGUGGGGGGUGGGGAGUAGUGGGUGGACGUUGGGGUAGGGAGGGAGCGGUGGAGGGAAAGAUGAGGCACCGGAGACCGGCGGAGUCACUCAGCCCUCCUCGCUCCAGAAGUGCGCCUUCUGCCAAUCCGAGGGCCGCCUGGGGGUGAUGGACGCAAGCGUGUGCCCAAUGAGGAGGAGAAGGUGUCGCUCCGAGCCACAGGGGAAGGAGUGGGCGGGCCAAGGUCCUCCCCUCCCUCCGGCACCCAGGUCCUCCCUCCCGCCCUGUUCAGCCUUAUUCCAUGAUGUCGGCCUGCAUCCUGAGUCCACCUAAGAAAAUGAACCAACCUGCGGACUUUCUAUAGUGCCCAGAAUGUGUAUGCAUUGCCCCUCGGUCUGUAUGUGAACUGAGACUCUGCUGAUCCCAUGUGGUUAAGACUUGAUUGGACUCAGCUGGGCUUUGCUCCAGGACACAGGUUAAGUUCAGGUCUUUAUCACAUGUCUCUUUCUGGCAAUGACAGGAGCUCAAGAGGUGAAGUCAAAUCACUCAAACACAUUUAACACUUCUGCUGCCAUCAUAUCUCCUAAUGUUUCAUUGGCCAAAGAAGUCACAUGGCCAAGUCCACCAAAGUAGUGGAAGGUGCUGCAAAACCACAUGGCAAAGAGCAUGGGUGUAUAAUUCUAUAACUGGGAGGAUGUGAAGGAUUGGGAAUAAUAAUCCAACCUAACAGAGAAGUUUUGUUUCAUAGAUAAUGUUGGAAAAAUUGGUUCACCAUAGAGAAAAAUAAAGUUGCAUCCAUAUCUCAUACCAUUUGCAAAUGUAAAAUUUCAAUGAAUAACAAAACCUAAAAAUGAAAGGGAAAACUGCAAAGCUAAUAGAAAUUAAAAGCAGAAGAAUUGCUUUGGAAUCUUAGAAUAGGAAAAGAUUUCUUCAAAGACUCUGAAAGCAUAAACUAUAAAACCAAAAGAUUGAUGAACUUGACUAUAUCAAAAUUAAAGUUUUCUGGUCGAAAAAGAACAUUAUAAGACAAGAGAAAGUUGAUAGUUUGAGGGAUGUUUCCAAACCAACAAGAGAUUAAUGUCUAUAAUUUGCUAGGAAUUUCUGCAAAUCAUUGAGAGAAAAAACAAAACAAAACACAGAAAACACAAUAGAAAAAUAGCCAAAGGAUAUGAACAGGCAAAUUUACAGAAAGGAAGCUUGAGAGACUAACAACUAGAUGAAUAGAUAUAUUGUACAACAUGGGGACUAUAGCUAAUAUUUUAUAUUAACUAUAAAUCAAAUAUAACUUUUAAACAUUGUAAAUCA